rnacentral:rRNA from 1 species
UACGGGGGGGGCAAGCGUUGUUCGGAAUUACUGGGCGUAAAGGGCUCGUAGGCGGCCAACUAAGUCAGACGUGAAAUCCCUCGGCUUAACCGGGGAACUGCGUCUGAUACUGGAUGGCUUGAGUUUGGGAGAGGGAUGCGGAAUUCCAGGUGUAGCGGUGAAAUGCGUAGAUAUCUGGAGGAACACCGGUGGCGAAGGCGGCAUCCUGGACUGGUACUGACGCUCAGGAGCGAAAGCGUGGGGAGCGAUCCGG